GUCAUCUGAACAGGAAUCGGGAGCACCAAGAAAUGAGCUGAGCAGUCUCUCUCCAAAUGUUUUCCGUAGGCAAGGUUCAGUGAGUGCUGUAGCGAUUGUUGAAGCGCGCCGGAGGGAGACGCGGGCCUGCAGCCCUGCAGUGGGCAUUGGCUAGAACACCAUUCAACUGCAGCUAUGUUAAUGGCUUUGGCCAAGUAACACUUGAAGUUCAACUGAGCCAGAAAGGACAGAGACGAGUGCUACUGAAGUGGAAAUGUCUUAAAUCCUGUUUUGUGAUUUCCCCGCCUCAGAGCUGAGUCACCCCCUGCCCGGAGAAAGGAUCCUUCAUUUCAUGGCUCACUCACUUCCUAUCCAAGCCAUCUCAAGUGAAGGGAGAAAGAACCAAGGAAUCCCUCCUGCGCCUGGACCUGAAGACGAAGGAAGGACUGUAAUCCCAGCUUCUCUGGAGGACGAGGCAGGAAGAGUUCCAGGCCACUCUGGGAAAUUUAGAGACUCUCAAAAAAAAAAAAAAAAAAAA
rnacentral:lncRNA from 1 species